rnacentral:rRNA from 1 species
UACAGAGGGGGCAAGCGUUGUUCGGAAUUACUGGGCGUAAAGGGCGCGUAGGCGGCCUUCUAAGUCGAACGUGAAAUCCCCGGGCUCAACCCGGGAACUGCGUCCGAGACUGGAAGGCUUGAAUCCGGGAGAGGGAUGUGGAAUUCCAGGUGUAGCGGUGAAAUGCGUAGAUAUCUGGAGGAACACCGGUGGCGAAGGCGGCAUCCUGGACCACACUGACGCUGAGGAGCGAAAGCCAGGGGAGCAAAGCGGG